GUGGGGUGCAGCUCAGUGGCAGAGCGCAUGCUUGGCACGCACAAGGUCCUGGGUUCAAUCCCCAGUCCCUUCA
rfam:Camelus ferus unplaced genomic scaffold scaffold805, whole genome shotgun sequence.